rnacentral:misc_RNA from 1 species
GAAAUGCGAUAAGUAAUGUGAAUUGCAGAAUUCAGUGAAUCAUCGAAUCUUUGAACGCACAUUGCGCCCGGCAGCAAUCUGCCGGGCAUGCCUGUCCGAGCGUCAUUUCUGCCCUCGAGCUCGGUUCGGCCCCUAGCGGGCCGGCCGCCGCCCGGUGUUGGGGCGCUGCGGGCCCUCGUGCCCGCAGGCCCUGAAAUGAAGUGGCGGUCCCGCCGCGGCGCCCCCUGCGUAGUAGUAAAGCACCUCGCAUCGGGUCCCGGCGGAGGCCAGCCGUCGAACCUCUCUUUUGAUGGUUUGACCUCGGAUCAGGUAGGGUUACCCGCUGAACUUAAGC